UUAAUUAUGCAGAUUUAUGCACGACGCUACUACACUCGCACAAACUGAGAAGAUUUAGUUCAUUGAGAAUGGAUUGAAACUGAAGAAGAGCUGGAAGGAGUUAGCUGAUGAGUAGACAUUACAACAUUUUUUAUAGUUGCAAGAUGACGCAGAAAGUCCCAUCCAGGAUGAUGCUUCGCUACAGUGGAUGAUGAAGCCA